rnacentral:rRNA from 1 species
UACGUAGGGUGCAAGCGUUGUCUGGAAUUAUUGGGCGUAAAGAGCUCGUAGGCGGUCUGUCGCGUCGGCUGUGAAAUCCCGAGGCUCAACCUCGGGUCUGCAGUCGAUACGGGCAAACUAGAGUAUUGCAGGGGAGACUGGAAUUCCUGGUGUAGCGGUGAAAUGCGCAGAUAUCAGGAGGAACACCGGUGGCGAAGGCGGGUCUCUGGGCAAUAACUGACGCUGAGGAGCGAAAGCGUGGGGAGCGAACAGG